GCCCGUUUGGCCAAGUGGUACGGCGUGUCACUCGUAAGCCUCCAGAAGGUGAUAUGACAAGAUCCAUGGUUCGAUUCCGUGAAUGGGCA
rnacentral:tRNA from 1 species